GACGAACGCUGGCGGCGUGCUUAACACAUGCAAGUCGAACGGUGAAGCGCCUUCCUUUUUGGUGGGUGUGGAUGAGUGGCGAACGGGUGAGUAACACGUGAGUAACCUGCCCCCUUCUUCUGGAUAACCGCAUGAAAGUGUGGCUAAUACGGGAUAUUCUGGGUCUGUCGCAUGAUGGGUCUGGGAAAGAUAUUGUUUCGGUGGGGGAUGGGCUCGCGGCCUAUCAGCUUGUUGGUGGGGUGAUGGCCUACCAAGGCGGUGACGGGUAGCCGGCCUGAGAGGGUGGACGGUCACACUGGGACUGAGACACGGCCCAGACUCCUACGGGAGGCAGCAGUGGGGAGUAUUGCACAAUGGGGGCAAGCCUGAUGCAGCGACGCCGCGUGAGGGAUGGAGGCCUUCGGGUUGUGAACCUCUUUCGCCAGUGAAGCAGGCCUGCCUCGUUUGUGGGUGGGUUGACGGUAGCUGGAUAAGAAGCGCCGGCUAACUACGUG
rnacentral:rRNA from 1 species